UGACCCUGACGACAUGGAGAAUGAAGGA
rnacentral:piRNA from 1 species